AUCUGGAGUCUUCUGCUGCUGCCGUUGUCUCUCUGUGUCUGUCCACCAGAGGUCACUGUUGCUCCAGAAACAAACUGCAGCCAUGUUGGGGAUCAACAGAUGAUUGGAGACGCUGGAACCAGAGAACACACACGGCUGCUCUCCUUGGCAUGUCUGACAGAGGUCCGCCUCCGGCUCAGUCGCCUGUUGGGUUUAAAGGAGACAAAAUAACAUCAGCAGACGCUCCAACAGGAAUCAUGACGCUCUGGUUCCAUCUUUAACUGCGUCGUUAGAGAGGAGGUCGACUGGUGAGGGAGGAGUGAGAGGAU